UAUUGUCAGAAAUAGAAAAAAAACUGUUUUUAGGCUUAUGUCGAAAUAACCAACAUCGGCCUAACUGGCCGUUCAGUGGGAUGCGUAAUAGGAUAUCCAGAAAAGCAUGUUUACUCGUAAAAUCGGCAAAAGUU